rnacentral:rRNA from 1 species
AUUGAACGCUGGCGGCAUGCCUUACACAUGCAAGUCGAGCGAGAGAAGUUCCUUCGGGAAGGACUCUAGCGACGGACGGGUGAGUAACACGUAGGUAACCUGCCUCAUAGAGGGGAAUAGCCUUCCGAAAGGAAGAUUAAUACCGCAUAAGAUUGUAGCUUCGCAUGAAGCAGCAAUUAAAGGAGUAAUCCGCUAUGAGAUGGACACGCGUCGCAUUAGCUAGUUGGUGAGGUAACGGCUCACCAAGGCGACGAUGCGUAUCCGAGCUGAGAGGGUGAUCGGCGGCAAUGGGACUGAGACACGGCCCAGACUCCUACGGGAGGCAGCAGUGGGGAAUAUUGCACAAUAGGGGAAACCCUGAGGCAGCAACGCCGCGUGGGUGAUGACUGUCUUCGGAUUGUAAAACUCUGUCUUCAGGGACGAUAAUGACGGUACCUGAGGAGGAAGCCACGGCUAACUACGUGCCAGCAGCAGCCGCAGUAA